rnacentral:rRNA from 1 species
CAAAGAACUUUGAAGAGAGAGUUCAAGAGGGCGUGAAACCGCUUGGAAGGAAACGGAUAGAGCCGACGAUGGUUGGCGAGAUUCAGUUCACCGGCUAGAGCUCUGGUGCGUUCGCGGACUUAUCGCCGCGUCGUGCCGGUCGUUCGUGUCGGUGGAUGCAUUUCUCGUCGACGCGCAUCGAGGGCGGAGGAGACGCGGAACGAAGUGUCGGUUGCCGGCCCCGUUAGGGGUGUCCCACCGACGCGGAGGUCUGUCGUUUCUUCCGUGUCUAAGGCGUCCGCUCUGCUCGGUAGCCGGGCUACUCGGUCGAACGAAUCUGCGCGACUUGCUCGCACGUCGCGCUAACCCUCGGCUGUGUGUGUUCGGUGAUCCGAGAGACGUCGACUUCGGUGUCAAAGUCGGCGACCUAUCCGACCCGUCUUGAAACACGGACCAAGGAGUCUAACAUGUGUGCGAGUCACUGGGUGGCAAACCCAGAGGCGUAAUGAAAGUGAAGAGCGAUUCUGUCGUUUGAUACGGGACCACCCCCGAGGUGCGCACCGUAGCCCCGUCUCGUCUGCUUGUCAGUGGGGCGGAGGUAGAGCAUACACGUUGGGACCCGAAAGAUGGUGAACUAUGCCUGAGCAGGACGAAGCCAGAGGAAACUCUGGUGGAGGUUCGAAGCGGUUCUGACGUGCAAAUCGAUCGUCAGACUUGGGUAUAGGGGCGAAAGACUAAUCGAACCAUC